rnacentral:rRNA from 1 species
UACGUAGGGUGCAAGCGUUAAUCGGAAUUACUGGGCGUAAAGCGUGCGCAGGCGGUUUUGUAAGUUUGUCGUGAAAUCCCCGGGCUCAACCUGGGAAUGGCGAAUGAAGACUGCAAGGCUAGAGUUUGGCAGAGGGGGGUAGAAUUCCACGUGUAGCAGUGAAAUGCGUAGAUAUGUGGAGGAACACCGAUGGCGAAGGCAGCCCCCUGGGUCAAAACUGACGCUCAUGCACGAAAGCGUGGGGAGCAAACAGG